rnacentral:rRNA from 1 species
AAAGCUCAAAUUUAAAAUCUGGUGGUUCUUGCAGCCAUCCGAGUUGUAAUUUAGAGAAGUGCUAUCCGCGCUGGACCGUAUACAAGUCUCCUGGAAUGGAGCGUCAUAGAGGGUGAGAAUCCCGUCUUUGAUACGGACUGCCAGGGCUUUGUGAUGCGCUCUCGAAGAGUCGAGUUGUUUGGGAAUGCAGCUCAAAAUGGGUGGUAAAUUCCAUCUAAAGCUAAAUAUUGGCGAGAGACCGAUAGCGAA